UACUUGCCUAUCCUGUUGCUGAAUUCCAUG
rnacentral:piRNA from 1 species